rnacentral:lncRNA from 1 species
GGCUGAUGGGGUGACGCUGCUGGCGUCAAUGGAAGCGGAGCUCUUGACAGUCCACUUCUGUGUCUAUGCGGGGGACAUUUUCCAGAUGUCAGUAGGAAAGAGGAAUUCUUGCGGAGUUUGCAGCUUAGUAGAUCUUACAUUGUGGGCUUUGCCAAACACGUGAGUUUGCAAACUUCCUCCUUUUAAAACUUUUUUUUCUUCCAAAGGAACGUGAUUUUCUUGUUAAAGGAGCUCUGUGCAAUGCAUUCAAAUCUAUCUGCCCUAAGUAGCCCACACCCCACCUGUUGUAUAAAUAUUUUUUAGACGUUCUCUCCUCUGCUCCUAGUUUUCCCACCUCAUGAGUUUCUCUGUAUUUGUUUUUCCUACUCUGCACCCUUCUUGCUUCAUCUUCCUCCCUAAU